UACGUAGGGGGCAAGCGUUGUCCGGAUUCAUUGGGCGUAAAGAGCGUGUAGGCGGCCAGGUAGGUCGGUUGUGAAAACUGGAGGCUCAACCUUCAGAGGUCGACCGAAACCAUCUGGCUAGAGUCCGGGAGAGGAGAGUGGAAUUCCUGGUGUAGCGGUGAAAUGCGCAGAUAUCAGGAGGAACACCAGUGGCGAAGGCGGCCUUCUGGACCAGCACUGACACUCAAGCACGAAAGCGUGGGGAGCAAACAGG
rnacentral:rRNA from 1 species